CCUACGGGAGGCAGCAGUGAGGAAUAUUGGUCAAUGGACGAGAGUCUGAACCAGCCAAGUAGCGUGAAGGAUGACUGCCCUAUGGGUUGUAAACUUCUUUUAUAUGGGAAUAAAACGUUCCACGUGUGGGGUUUUGUAUGUACCAUGUGAAUAAGGAUCGGCUAACUCCGUGCCAGCCGCCGCGGUAAUACGGGGGAUCGGAGCUUUUUCCGGAUUUUUUUGGUUUAAAGGGGUUGUAGGUGGGUAGUUAAGUCAGUUGGUAAAGUGUGCGGGUCAAACGUCGAAUUGCAGUUGAAACUGGCAGUCUUGAGUGAAGGAGAGGUGUGCGGAAUGCGUGGUGUAGCGGUGAAAUGCUUAGAUAUCACGAAGAACUCCGAUUGCGAAGGCAGUUCACUGGCGUGCAACUGACACUGAGGCUCGAAAGUGUGGGGAUCAAACAGGAUUAGAUACCCUAGUAGUC
rnacentral:rRNA from 1 species